GGUACUAUCAGGUGGGAUCUCAGCUGGGGUGGCCAGUUGCAGCGCCCUGAUUCUCCUCCAUGUGGCUUGAGCUUUCUUUAGCUUAGUGGGAUUCUAAGAAUGAACAUCUCAAGAGUGUUACCAGGGGGAAGGAAGUAGAAACUGCUAGUCCUCCUAAGUGCUGGGCUCAGAAGUCCCAAAACAGCUCCUCCAUCACAUUCUAUUGGUCAGAGCAAUUGCAGGGCCAGUCCAGAUUCAAGGGGAGAAGAUAUAAGCAUAUAGAAUGGGGAUAAAUGUUGGAAACCAUCUUUGGAGACUAGCUACCACACCUGUCUGCACAGGUUCUUCCCUGCUUUGAAAUGCUCUUUUCCUGUCAAACCUUUGUUCAUACUGCAAGAUGCAGCUUAUAAUUCAGUACCCAUGUAGAGCUUUUUCUGUCAUCUCCAGAUUAUAGUCAGUAGUCUUUUCCUCUGUAUAAUCUGUGCCUGUUGUAUAUAUUUCUAUUUUUAUGUCCAUCAUUCCUUAUCAUUUAUUUGCUUAGAUAUUUUUCUGUCAGAGUGUCCAGGGAAAAGUAAGCAUGUUGUCACCAACUCUUUGUCUCUAGUAACUGCAACAGUGAAGGUAUUUGCUAUUGAACUUGUAAGUAUCUGCUUCUGGUCAGUACUAAUUUCACCUAGAGUACCAUACCAUCUGUCCGUAGAGCUUCAACCUGAGACCAUUUAAAACACAAAAGAUAGUGAAUAUUCAGUGGGGAUAAUGGAAAAGGAGAAAAAAAUUGUAUUUCAAAUACUCUGUUUAGGAAGAAAGGACCAUAUGUGAAACAUUUAAUUAAAAAUUUCAGGAAAAUUGGUAUUUUAGUCUUGAAAGGUUUAAACUUACCUGGAAAAAUAAUUUUUCCAGCAUAGCACAUUUUCUGAUUCUAGGAAUGCCAGAUAAAAUGUUAUGCCAUACAAUUGAUAAGAAAAAUGGAAGUCACGGCCGGGCACGGUGGCUCACGCCUGUAAUCCCAGCACUUUGGGAGGCCGAGGCGGGCGGAUCACGAGGUCAGGAGAUCAAGACCAUCCUGGCUAACACGGUGAAACCCCGUCUCUACUAAAAAUACAAAAAAUUAGCCGGGCGUAGUGGCGGGCGCCUGUAGUCCCAGCUACUUGGGAGGCUGAGGCAGGA
rnacentral:lncRNA from 10 species